UUUCGCAAUGCCCGAAAGGGUGACGAAGCGACGCCGCGUGUGGGAAGAAGGCCUUCGGGUUGUAAACCACUGUCGGGAGUUAAGAAAUGCAAGGAUAUUAAUAGUGUCUUUGUUUGACUAAGGCUCCGGAGGAAGCCACGGCUAACUCUGUGCCAGCAGCCGCGGUAAUACAGAGGCGGCAAGCGUUGUUCGGAAUUAUUGGGCGUAAAGAGCACGUAGGCGGCUAUGUAAGUCGGUUGUGAAAGCCUUCCGCUCAACGGAUGAACAGCAUCCGAUACUACAUGGCUUGAGUGCGGGAGGGGAGAGUGGAACUUCUGGUGGAGCGGUGAAAUGCGUAGAUAUCAGAAGGAACGCCGGCGGCGAAAGCGGCUCUCUGGCCCAUAACUGACGCUGAGUGUGCGAAAGCUAGGGGAGCAAACGGGAUUAGAUACCCCGGUAGUCCUAGCCGUAAGCGAUGGGCACUAAGUAGAGGGGUUUU
rnacentral:rRNA from 1 species